UACGUAGGGUGCGAGCGUUGUCCGGAAUUAUUGGGCGUAAAGGGCUCGUAGGCGGUUUGUCGCGUCGGGAGUGAAAACUCAGGGCUCAACCCUGAGCGUGCUUCCGAUACGGGCAGACUAGAGGUAUUCAGGGGGAGAACGGAAUUCCUGGUGUAGCGGUGGAAUGACGCAGAGUAUCAGGAGGAACACCGGUGGCGAAGGCGGUUCUCUGGGAAUUACCUGACGCUGAGGAGCGAAAGCAUGGGGAGCGAACAGG
rnacentral:rRNA from 1 species